rnacentral:tRNA from 1 species
ACCUGGCUGGCUCAGUUGGUUAAGCAUCUGACUUUGGCUCAGGUCAUGAUCUCACAGUUCGUGGGUUUGAGCCCCAUGUUGGGCU